rnacentral:rRNA from 1 species
AACGAACGCUGACGGCGGGCCUCAUACAUGCAAGUCGCGCGCGAAAGUCCGCAAGGAUGAGUAAAGCGGCGCACGGGUGAGUAACACGUGGGUAAUCUACCUCGAGGAUUGGAAUAACACGUCGAAAGAUGUGCUAAUACCAAGUAAGCUUCACGAUUCGUAAAGUUUUGUGGAGGAAAGCUGGCGCAAGCAAGCGCCUUGAGAUGAGCCUGCGUUCCAUUAGUUUGUUGGUGAGGUAAUGGCUUACCAAGACUACGAUGGAUAACUGGUCUGAGAGGAUGAUCAGUCACACUGGAACUGAAACACGGUCCAGACUCCUACGGGAGGCAGCAGUAGGGAAUAUUGCGCAAUGGGGGAAACCCUGACGCAGCCACGCCGUGUGGGUGAGGAAGGCCUUCGGGUCGUAAAGCCCUGUCACCUGGGAAGAAACUAUUAGUGGGGAAAGUUCACUAGUAUUGACGGUACCAGGGGAGGAAGCACCGGCUAACUCUGUGCCAGCAGCCGCGGUAA